rnacentral:misc_RNA from 1 species
GAGAGAGAGGCACGAAUGGGUAUGUAUGAGUAUGGAGGACAUUUAGGCAUAAAGUGAGGCAUUUACAUAUAGAGAAGCACAGAUGCCUAUGGUUAAUACUAGGGUUUGUAAUUCUAUGGUUGUCAUUCAAAUUUUUUCCCGUUUCUCUAUUUAAUAAUUUGCAAAUGAGGGAAUGAAAUGAAAAAAUCAAUAGUUGUAUAAUUGACAAAUUGAGUACCACAAAGAGGAUUACAGUAGCUCAAAUCGAAGGCAGAGGUAGAAGCACCAAGAGGA